GGACGAAUAAUAUUAUGGAAAUGCUUGGAUUUCGUUUUUAGCUGACCAUGUUAACUUUGGAUAAAUUUGGAGCUAUAAUUGAGUGUGUAUCCAUGCCUUUGGGGAGUAUGAAAUCAUAUGGCUUCUAUCAUGUAGUGCAUUUCUAUAUUAUCUUGUGCAACAUACCUGGCUACACAAGAUCAUAGUUAAACUCCUGUUAUUAAUUUUCUGUAUCAUUAGCAUGUAAGGCAGCAUAUCAAAUAGGAGUAUAUGCUAGCUUAAGUUGGAAAUCAUCUAGACUGUUGUACAAAUAACAUAUCAUUCUGACAAAAUCUGGUCUUCAUAAUUUCAGUUAUGUCACCUGGUACGUAAUACACGAGGUGCACACAUGUUGGUCUAGACUGGAACCUGACGACAGUGGUGAGAAAAACAAGCACGUCGACGGUGUCUCCACCAUCCAGUCAAAAUUGUACGUUCUGGCCUUGCCCCUACACCUACAUUCAUGAUUGCUUGUGGGUUGGUUGAUAUGUUGAUGGGAAGAAGUUGGAAACAGAAGACUAUGAAGCCAUCAAUUAUGCUUUGUAGAUUCUUUCAGCUCCAGGUUGAUAUGUUGCAUGGAGGAAGUUGGAAACACAAGACUAUGAAGCCAUCAAUUAUGCUUUGUUUUCCUGAUUACGUGUUUCUCUUACUCUUUGUGUAUAUCAUGUUACUGUUUUAGUUUUGUUUGUUUAAUGAAAAUUAGAA